rnacentral:rRNA from 10 species
GCUUACGGCCAUACCAUCUUAGGCACGCCCGAUCUCGUCUGAUCUCGGAAGCUAAGCAGGGUCGGGCCUGGUUAGUA